AGGCAUCCAGGCUGGAUCUGAAAAACAUGAAGACAAAAUACAGACCACAAGUAUCAUCUCUGGGCCAAUGGACAGAGGCUGUACAGAGUAGCUUUGGCAGUAUUUGUUCUCGUUCACUAGGUGCUUUUUUCCUAUCCUGCUGAAAAACCUCACUGCAGAAACUGCAUGCUAAAUUGGCUCAGACGCAGAGAACAGGAACAAAGAGACUUCCUCUACUGCAGUGCAGUUUGGAUCAGAUCCAAAAGACUCACAAGCAGAAGAUAAACAGACCGAGAAGAUGCAGACAAGUAAUUUUUAGAAUAGAACUAGUUAUUUAUUGUAGCUUUCACUGGCAUAACAUGCAGAAACAAACCUGUGUUUUUAGGUUAAUUGUGUCUUUAUAAAAUGACUUUUAAGUUUCCUUAAAUCAGAAGCAUAUAGAAUUGCUAAGUGUUGUUUUCUAAACACUUUAAAGCCAAAGGAGAUAAAUAGUGUACAUUUGUUUUCUAAAAAUCUAGUUUUAAGAGCAGUUUUUUUAGAAGAAAGAAAUGUAGAGCAGAUGAUUCUAAGUGUGUCUCAAAACCAGCAGUGCCAGCUUCUUCAGCAUAAGCCUGAAUGGUCACUAUUUCUCUCGUUCUCUUUCUGCUGAUCUAAUUUCUCAUUACAAUUCUUUAGGCAUUCUUAAACUUAAUCUGUGCAGAUAUUUCUUAAAUAUCCCACACUUGCAAAAUUUGUCCUAGCAAUGUUACGAGUGCUGGCAUAAUUAGUCACACAGCUACGUUUUUUUCCUCUGGGUCAUCUAGACCUAUUCAGAACAACAUGCCCAAGCAUGUUUUUAAUGGUGGCCCAGAUCUUAAAACAAAGCUGUAUCCCAUGUGUCCUGCAAAGUCGAACUAUGCUUUAAACUAACAGGGAGUUAAAUGAGUAUUGCCUAGUCUUCUAAUUUUACUACAACUCUGGGUAUCUAUUUGUUUUUCUUAAGUCUUCAGCUCCUGAAAUUAGUAGCUUACUAAAAAAUUUAAAGGUAUUUUUAGCAUCAGACUUAAAACAAACAAAACAACUCAGAGAGUUGUCUUUUUUUGGUAAGCUCAUGACAUAAAAACCAAUCUCAUGGCGCUCUGAAUUGUGACUCAUAUUUUUGUAACCCUUGAGCCUGGCAGUACAAGCACAAGCAGUGACAUGCCACGGCUGUAUAUGUCUCAUGGCUGGAACUGCAGCAAAGGCUGGGCCUUAUUGCAGCGUUACAGGUUUGGGGAGAAGAGUGUAUGUUAAAAAUAUUAUUUUACCUUCAACAACUGUAAAUAGGUAAAUACAAUUAUCAUGUGUCAUACAGUGGGAGAGACCUAAGGCAGGUGUGAGUAAUAUGAUGAGAUAGGAAUAUACAUUGUUUUUCCCUUUGGCAAGUAGUCCUAUUAUAAUCUGAGGAAAAGAACUGAACUUGC